GCCAGGCUCCUUCCGUGGUCCCGGCUCGCGUGGCGGCGGCGGCGGCGGCGGCGGCAGCGUCUCCCUGAGGGGGUGCGCGGGGCCAUGACGUCAGCGUCCACAAAGGUCGGGGAGAUCUUCUCUGCGGCGGGCGCCGCCUUCACGAAGCUCGGGGAGCUGACGAUGCAACUGCAUCCCGUGGCCGACUCUUCUCCCGCGGGAGCCAAGUGGACGGAGACCGAGAUAGAGAUGCUGAGGGCUGCUGUGAAACGAUUUGGGGACGAUCUUAAUCACAUCAGCUGUGUCAUCAAGGAACGGACCGUGGCUCAGAUAAAGGCCACUGUGAAACGCAAGGUGUAUGAAGACUCUGGCGUUGCGCUUCCAGCUGAGUCACCCAAGAAAGGGCCCAAGAAGGUGGCCUCUGGGGUCCUGUCGCCUCCCCCGGCUGCCCCCCCGCCCAGCAGCUGCAGCGUCCCUGAUGCCGGGGCCCCCCCUGUAAAGAAACAGAAGUCCGGUGAGGGCGGUGGAGUCGCUGCCUCGGCGCGAGAGGUCCCAUCUGAGGCUCAACGUGACUCUCAGUGCUCUGAACGACUCGGACGCCAACAGUGACCUGGUGGAUAUUGAAGGGCUGGGAGAAACUCCGGCCAAGAAACUCAACUUCCACCAGGACAGCCUGACCCUGGGUUCUGGCCGCCUAAAGACCUGCGCUGAAGCUCCUUUGCUCUCCUGCUGACCUCCCACCUCCGAGCCCUCUCACCGUUCGCCUGGACCUGUGGAUCGCCUGGGACUCUGAGCGAGGCCUGCCCGAGAGAGGCGCAGAGGCUGCUGGGGCUGGCCGCCUGGCUGGUCCUGGACGAGCAUCCGCCCCAAGCCCUUUGACCUCUGUCUGAUGGACAUUUUUAUACAGAAAACAAUAAAGAUUUGUCUCUCA